UAAUGAUGGUGAGGACAUUGGAUGAGAAGCAACUUAAAUCUGUCCCAUGCCUCACGAAAAGGCUCUCCUUCCAUUUAAGAAAACAUCGCGAUCUUGGUCCUCAAGUC